rnacentral:rRNA from 1 species
CAAAGGAGCAAUCCGCUGAAAGAUGGGCUCGCGUCCGAUUAGGUAGUUGGUGAGGUAACGGCCCACCAAGCCGACGAUCGGUAGCCGGACUGAGAGGUUGGACGGCCACAUUGGGACUGAGACACGGCCCAGACUCCUACGGGAGGCAGCAGUAAGGGAUAUUGGUCAAUGGGGGAAACCCUGAACCAGCAACGCCGCGUGAGGGAAGACGGUUUUCGGAUUGUAAACCUCUGUCCUCUGUGAAGAUGAUGACGGUAGCAGAGGAGGAAGCUCCGGCUAACUACGUGCCAGCAGCCGCGGUAAUACGUAGGGAGCGAGCGUUGCCCGGAUUUACUGGGUGUAAAGGGUGCGUAGGCGGCUGUGCAAGUCAGUAGUGAAAUCCAUGGGCUUAACCCAUGAACUGCUAUUGAAACUGCACAGCUUGAGUGAAGUAGAGGUAGGCGGAAUUCCCGGUGUAGCGGUGAAAUGCGUAGAGAUCGGGAGGAACACCAGUGGCGAAGGCGGCCUACUGGGCUUUAACUGACGCUGAGGCACGAAAGCGUGGGUAGCAAACAGGAUUAGAUACCCUGGUAGUCCACGCUGUAAACGAUGAUUACUAGGUGUGGGGGGACUGAACCCUUCC